CCGUGACAUUCUCUGUUAUUGAGGUAGAAGAGCAAUGAGAAUCCAUGUAUCUCCUUUCUUUCCAGACCCAGAGAGGAAAACUGGACCUCAGGCCUGCCUCCUGGUGCCUGUUCUUUCUGCUGUAUCCCACAGGCUCCCAGUUUGGGCCUCGAGGGUCCGACUCUGAACUUGGCAUCCUCAUCCCUGGACAUUCUCCUUCCCCACCAUGUCCCUUUCUCGGUUUGGGGACAAUAACUGAGCAGCGCGCGGAAGCGGGGUCACCGCUUGGCCAACCGGACACCAAGUCGGCGCUGCGGCCUCUCCCACCCCUGCGGACCCCGCCGCCUCUCCUCGCUGUAAAACCAAGUGGAUCCGGACGCGCUCUGCCCCUUCUCCUUCUCGAGCCUCCGGUGCUUCAGAGCGACCGUGGCCUUUACAGACGCGACCCUGGCAGCCGCCGCCCCCAAGGUCCAAGCCAGGCGCUGAAAAGCCGGGAUCCCGGGACCCGACGAUGCGGGAGCAGGUGCCCGCCCACCCCGAGCCCACUCCGAGCCCACCCCGGGCUUCCUGGCUCGGAGCCCGAGAUCCCCCUAACCCACUCCUCCCUCCACCUCUAAAUCCCCUCUUCCUAACCCCACCCCCUCCUGCCCCAAUCCCUGACAUCCCCUCCCCUCUCCUCCUCUCCACCCCCUCCUCUUUCCCCGCCCCCCGCUGCGGCCAAGCGUCCGCGGCGCAGGCCGUCUGGCCUCAUUUCAGGAGGGACCCCGGGAGCCGGUGCAUCCAGCGUGCUUCCAGACCACGCGGCUCUCCCAGGACCUGAGGGUGCACAUGCAUGGCCAUAAAAUCCACAGAGACCCCUUCCGGCCGGUGCAGGGGCCCGCGGAGCGCUAAGCACGGCGCUCAAGGAGGGGGGCGUCCGCGAGUGCUCGGCUUGGCGAGCAGCCGCGCAGCGACCAGCCAGCCAUCUGGGGGUGGUUCAGGAAGCCCCUUCCCUGCCCCUCCCCUUCUCCCCCCUCCCUUCCCCGCCCCUGCCCUGAGGGCUGCAGGAGGCUGCAGCUCCUCCCAUAGGACUUGAAGGCCCCCUCGGGCUGCUCGGUAGAGCUAGGUGCAGCGCUCCAAGGGCUGCUAGGCAGAGCUCGCCUUCCUCCCUCAUGGGUGGUCUCAUAAAUUGUCCCCUUGGCUGGCGUUUGGGCCAGCUGCACCCAUUUUCUUCUGAUGUGUCUGGGGGAGGAAUUCUAGAGGCCUCUGGAUCUUAUUCGCCCUCAGAAUGGGACCCGCGAGACCUAAGCCCAGUCACUUCUUGGGUCUGUCUGUUGGUGCAUUGGAUGCAGCCUUGGACCGCCGUGCAGGUGCUCAGAGGCAGGGAGCUAGGAAGGGAAGCGGAGCUGGUGCUCUCUGCUUAUGCUGUCAUAGGAGGGGAUGUGGCACCUAAUACUUCCCACCUGAUGGGGAGCCAAGGGAGCAGGUGCGUGGAAGAAGGCAGGCUGGGGGUCAGCGUUUCCAUGUGGCCUUGGUCAAGGCCCUUGCCCUCUCCAUGCCUUAGGCUCCUCCUCUAUAUCCUGGGGUGAAAAAGCACUAGGUAUAGUGUGGGCCAGAGGACUCACUGAGUACAGUGCUAGUAGGACAUUGAUCGUCGUCAGUGAGCUAAUAUGAUACUCUCCUUUAAUAUGUGGAUAUCAGAGCUGGGGAAACAGGACUAAGUUAUCAAUUUGAGUUUAAUAAACUAAAAGCAUUAUUUUUUCAGCCCCUGUUGUGCAUACCAAACCCCAACCAUUUCACACCCACCUUUUGCAAACCUUGGCUUUCUAGUUUCCUCACUAGACGAUUACCAUCCAGGAGGUGGGGUCUGUCUCAGCACCUGAGCCUUUGCUGCGUGCCAGGGGCUGUGCUGAGUGUUGUGGGUUCUCUCCCCAGGCCUGAAUUCAGUGCUCCACAAGACUUUGAUCGUUAUAGGAGACUCCGGGAGGGUACAGAGCCCCUCUUAGCCCAUUCUCAACUUCUGUAAAAUGGGAGUAACAAAUGUCCUUGUGACACUGCUGUGAGAAUUCGAGUGAUAUUGCACAUGCCGUGCACUGUGUGAAGUCUUGGGAAUAUCCUGUUCUAGGGUACCUGCACUACACAUAAAGUAGUAGAAUGUAAUUUGGAGGUGGACUUAGAUUACUUUAAGAUGUAUAUUAUAAACUCUAGGGCAGCCAUAAAAUUUUUAAAAAGAAAUAUUAAUGAUAUGCCAAAAGAGAAAUUAAAGUGGAAUCAGAUAAAACGAGAAGGCAGAAAAAUAAGAAGGGGAAAAAAAUGCAAACAAAAACAAUUACAAAUACUGUAGCUAUUAAACCAAUCAUAUAAAUGAUUACUUUAAAUAUGAAUAGUCUAAACAUAUAAUUAAAAGACAAGCUGUCAGAGUAGGUUAAAAAAGGUAAGACCAACUAUAUGUUGUCUAAAUAUAAAGACUCAGGUCAAAAGUCAAGGAGUAGAGAAUGAUACACCCUGCUAAUACUAACUUAAAGAAAGCCGGAGUAGCUAUUUUACCUUCAGGUAGAGGAAACUUCAGAACAAAGGAAGAUUUUAGGAAUGAAGGGGGUAUUGAAUAGUGAUAAAAGAGUAAAUUUUCAAAGAAGGCAUGACAAUUCUAAAUGUGCAUGUGCCUAACAAUAGAGCAUCAAAAUAUGUGAGGAG
rnacentral:lncRNA from 1 species